rnacentral:rRNA from 1 species
UACGGAGGGUGCGAGCGUUAUCCGGAAUCACUGGGUUUAAAGGGUGCGUAGGCGGCUCGGUAAGUCAGUUGUGAAAGCCCCUUGCUUAACGAGGGAGGUGCGAUUGAUACUGUCGAGCUUGAAUCGGGAUGAGGCAGGCGGAAUGUGGCAUGUAGCGGUGAAAUGCAUAGAGAUGCCAGAGAACACCGAUUGCGAAGGCAGCCUGCUGGGCCUGUAUUGACGAUGAGGCACGAAAGCGUGGGGAUCAAACAGG